GCAGUCGUGCGGGAAGCAGACUUCGGUCUGUGAGUAGAGCGGCGAACGGGUGCGUAAGACGCGGGUGACCUAUCCUGGAGGCGGGGAUACCCCUUCGAAAGAGGGGCUAAUACCGGAUGCGCCCACAGCCGGAGACGGGUGGGGGCAAAGGGUGCUGUUUACCAGCAGCACAUCUUCUGGGCGGGGCCCACGGCCUAUCAGCUAGUUGGUGUGGUAACGGCGCACCAAGGCGAAGACGGGUAGCUGGUCUGAGAGGAUGGCCAGCCACACGGGGACUGAGACACGGCCCCGACUCCUACGGGAGGCAGCAGUGGGGAAUAUUGGGCAAUGGGCGCAAGCCUGACCCAGCGACGCCGCGUGGGUGAUGAAGGCCUUCGGGUCGUAAAGCCCUGUCGGGUGGAAAGAACGAUUUCUGUGCAAAUAGCGCAGGGAUGUGACGGUACCACCGAAGGAAGCACCGGCCAAUUCCGUGCCAGCAGCCGCGGUAAGACGGAAGGUGCAAGCGUUGCUCGGAAUCACUGGGCGUAAAGCGUGCGCAGGCGGUUCUGUAAGUCAGAUGUGAAAGCCCCGGGCUCAACCUGGGAACUGCGUUUGAAACUA
rnacentral:rRNA from 1 species